rnacentral:rRNA from 1 species
ACGGGGUGCAGCAGGCGCGAAAACUUCGCAAUGUGGGAAACCACGACGAGGGAACUCCAAGUGCCUACGCUCAGCGUAGGCUGUUCUUGAGCCUAGAGAGCUUUAGGAGUAAGGGCUGGGUAAGACGGGUGCCAGCCGCCGCGGUAAUACCCGCAGCCCAAGUGGUGGCCGCUAUUAUUGGGCCUAAAGCGUCCGUAGCCGGCCCGGUAAAUGCCUGGGUAAAUCGUGGGGCCUAACUCCACGAAUUCCGGGUAGACUGCCGAGCUCGGGACCGGAAGAAGGAGAGGGUACUCCAGGGGUAGGGGUGAAAUCCUGUAAUCCUUGGAGGACCACCCGUGGCGAAGGCGCUCUCCUAAGACGGGUCCGACGGUGAGGGACGAAAGCCAGGGGAGCAAACCGGAUUAGAUACACGGGUAGUCCUGGCCGUAAACGAUGUGGACUUGGUAUUCGAGUGGCCAUGAGCUGUUCGAGUGCCGUAGGGAAGCUGUUAAGUCCACCGCCUGGGGAGUAUGGUCGCAAGGCUGAAACUUAAAGGAAUUGGCGGGGGAGCAC